rnacentral:tRNA from 1 species
GGAGGGGUGUUCGAGUGGCUUAAGAAGCACGCUUGGAAAGCGUGUGUGGGAGAAAUUUCACCAUGGGUUCAAAUCCCAUCUCCUCCG